GCGCCUAUAGCUCAGGGGACAGAGCGCCGGCCUCCGGAGCCGGAUGCGCAGGUUCGAUUCCUGCUAGGCGCGCCA
rnacentral:tRNA from 1 species